rnacentral:rRNA from 1 species
UACGUAGGGAGCAAGCGUUAUCCGGAAUUACUGGGCGUAAAGCGUUCGUAGGUGGUAUUUUAAGUCAGAUGUUAAAUCUUUGGGCUCAACCCAGAGGCCGCAUUUGAUACUGAAGUACUCGAGGUAGGUAGAGGUAAGCGGAAUUUGUAGUGUAGCAGUGAAAUGCGUAGAUAUUACAAGGAACACCAAUGGCGAAGGCAGCUUACUGGUCCUAUCCUGACACUGAGGAACGAAAGCGUGGGGAGCGAAAGGG